CAAUUGUGACCUUUUGAUAGCACCAAGGAGUCGCCAUGUACCUCUUGAACAAUAAACAUCCUUGUCAAAGAUUCGGAGGCAUUUUGGAUUGUAUCAAUAGUGAUAUAAGUUUAGGCUUCUAUAGUGCACGUAGAUUUGUAGAUGAAAUAAUGAGGAUAAAUAGGCAGUGGUCACCAACACCACUUUGGAGAUUAAUUAUAAUGAAUACAGGUCAUCUGCCUAGGAUGAUAUAAUUCGGAUUAGCUCUAAGCCGUUUACUAGAAGUCAAGUUCGAGAGCUUCAAAGGAUUUAAGGAUUAUUCAUAAAGAAGAAGGUACUUGAAGAAGUCUCCUUAACAUCAAUAGGGUGUCAUUUGUUGAUGGUCGCACUCACAUUGAUCCAAUGAUCAUUAGAGGAGGCAAGGGGAAGGCAAAAUAGGGCUAGAAAGCCCCUUGGGAGGGACUUGAGCUCAAGGUGCUUUAAAUCCGCUCUAGCAUUUCAAGAGUGGAUCAAAACAACCUCUAGUGGGUCUUUUCUUGAAAUUGAGUCACUUUUGGGCCCUAAAAGUGUAAUAAUUAGCCUAAACUAUAAAUACAUUGGAGGCUAGCUUAUUUUCUUAGGCUAGCUUAUUUUCUUAGUUUUUCUUUAUUAUUGAUGAGUUAAUGAAUGCUUUUCCAUUGAGUGAGAGUGUUGGACAAAUUUUAUUGAAAAUUAGUUUAGAAACGUUGGUUUAAAAGGCGUUUAUAUCCGUCUUGGUCACCAUAAGAAUUAGGUGUUAGAUUAAGUUGCAAUCGAGGGUAUUACAAUUUAAUAUAUCCUUUUGUCCUUAGUUACUCCUUUUUCUUGUGUCUAACUUCUAUCCCUUGUUGAUUGUCACUUUAUCUUUUGUAUUUGAUUAUAGUUAUCAUAGUUUGAUUCUCUAUCAUUUGAUAUCAGAGUUGAGCUUUAUUCCAUUCCUACAAAGUCAAUCUUGGGUCUAGUCAUUUUGAAAAAUUAAAAAAUCACAAAAAAUUACUAUUCACAUUUUAGCUCUUAGGUCACAUAUUGAGUUUUUGAGUUUUCUUAUGUUUCUAGUGUUAGAUUUGUGUUCCCUAACACUAUUAGGGUCCGUAUAUCAAAUUCGAACUAAAUCAGAGUGAUAUUGAGUCUUAUACAAUCAUUGGAAGCUUGGGUUUGAAAAGAAAAAAUUUAUAGUGGGCUUCAAUAUUUGAAGUGUUGGGUGAGGAAUUUGAUCUAAAUAAUUUGUAAAAUGAGUUUAGAAUGUCAUGGAUGGAAUUGGCAAUGGUAGACUAGGGUCAUGUCAUAAGUCGGGAUCAGGGUUGGGAGGUGAGGGGUUGGGUUGGGGACGAGUUUGGGGUUAGGGGAAAGGGGUAGUAAGGUUACGUGGGAUAAGAGAGCUUCUAGGUUGUGAGUUGGAUCUUGGAACAUAUAAACUUUGCAGGGUAAGUCUAUAGAGCUGGUGAAGAUUCUUCGAAAGAGGAGGGUUAGUAUAGUGUGUGUCCAGGAAACUAAAUGGGUAGGCACUAAGGCGAGAGAUGUGGAUGGUUAUAAGUUGUGGUACUCGGGUAGCAUGAGACAUAGAAAUGGGGUAGGUAUCUUAGUAGAUGAAGAACUUAGAGAGUAGGUGGCUGAGGUAAAGAGAGUUAGUGAUAGGUUGAUAUCUAUUAAGUUGGUCAUUGGAGGGUUUACGGUGAACGUUAUUAGUGCCUAUGCCCCGCAAGUAGGUUUGGACGAAAAGAAGAAGAAGGAGUUUUGAGAGGUUUUAGAUAAAGUAGUGAGGAGCAUCCCGAGCACUAAGAAACUUCUCGUGGGAGGGGAUUUCAAUGGGCAUAUUGGGUCUUUGCUAAGAGGUUUUGAGGAUGUGCAUGGCGGUUUUAGUUUUGGGGAGCGGAAUGACGGAGGAGCUGCUAUUUUGGAUUUUUCUAGGGCUUUUGGGGGUGUGGAUAGCAAAUUCAAGCUUUCUGAAGAAGGAUGGACACUUUAUUAUGUUUCGUAGUUCAGUGACCAAGACUCAGAUGGACUUUUUGCUUUUUAGGAAAGAGGAUAGAGUGCUUUGUAAAGAUUGUAAAGUCAUACCUAGCGAGAGUCUUUCGACUCAGCAUAAGUUGUUGGUGAUGGAUUUGGUUAUCAAUAAGGGCAAAAAAAAGAGAAGCCUGGAGGCUCGGCCCAGGAUUAAGUGGGGUAGCCUGACUUUGGCUAGUGCUUUGGAAAUAGAGGAGAAUUUGAAGAGUAGGGGGGCUUGGGAGAGUAGAGGAGGUGCGAAUAGUAUGUGGGAGACGACUGCUAGUUGUAUUAGGGAGACCGCUAGAGAGGUGUUGGAUGUCUCGAGAGGUCAAUCUGACAAACAUCGGGGAGACUGGUGAUGGAAUAAAGAGGUUAAGCGAAAGGUGAAAUAUAAGAAGGUGGCUUAUGCUAAGUUGGUUGCGAGCAAGGAUAAGGAGGAAAGACAGAUGAAUAAGGAGGAGUAUAAGGUAGCUACGAGAGAGGCUAAGUUAGCGGUUACGACGGCUAAGACUGUAGCUUUUAAGCGCUUGUAUGCGGCUUUAGAGGAGAAAGACAGAGAAAAGAAGUUGUAUAGGCUGGCUAAGGCUAGGAAGCGGAGGGCUCGUAACCUUGACCAGGUGAAGUGCAUCAAAGAAGAGGAUGGUACAGUGUUGGUGGAGGAUGAUCUCAUUAGGGAGAGGUAACAAUCCUACUUCCAUAAACUUUUAAACGAUGAGGGGGACAAAGGUUUCGUGUUGGGGGACUUGGAGAAUUCUGAGGAGUGUCGAGAUUAUGGGUAUUGUAGGCGUAUCAAGGUUGAGGAGGUCAAGGAAGCUAUUCGCAGGAUAAGGUGGGGUAGGGCGACAGGCCAGACGAGAUUCCAGUGAAUUUUUGGAAAAGCACUAGCGAGGUAGGUUUGGAGUGGUUGGCAAGGUUGUUUAACAGUAUUUUAGGACAACAAAGAUGCCUGAAGCGUGGAGAUGGAGUUCGAUGAUUCAAGUGUAUAAGAACAAGGGAGACAUCCAGAGUUACAAUAACUAUAGAGGUAUUAAGUUGUUGAGUCAUACUAUGAAGGUUUGGAAAAGGGUGGUAGAGGUGAGGAUAAGAAGGAUCAUGACGAUUUCUGAGAAUCAGUUCGGUUUCAUGCCAGGUCGCUCGACCACUGAGGCCAUUCACCUUGUAAGGAGAUUAGUGGAGCAAUUUUGGGAGAGGAAGAAGGACUUGCACAUGGUGUUUAUUGAUCUUAAGAAGGCAUAAAACAGAGUUCCCAGGGAGAUUCUGUGGAGAUGCUUGAAGGAUAGAGGGGUGCCCGUGGUGUAUACUAGGGCGAUUCAGGAUAUGUAUGAUGGGGCAAAGACUUGGGUGAGGACGGUAGGUGGAGAUUCAGAGCACUUUCUACUCGUGAUAGGGGGGUUGCAUCAGGGAUUGACUCUUAGCCCAUUUUUAUUUACCUUGGUGAUGGAUGUUUUGAUGCGACAUAUUUAAGGGAGGUGCCUUGGUGUAUGUUAUUCGCAGAUGAUGUGGUUCUAAUUAACGAGACUCGGGGUGGAGUUAAUGAUAAGUUAGAAAUAUAGAGGAAGACGCUCGAGUCUAAAGGAUUUCGAUUAAGUAGAACCAAGAUAGAGUACUUGGAGUGUAAGUUCAGUGACUUGUCGCAGGAGGCUAGAGUAGUUGUGAAGCUAAAUUCUCAGGCCAUUCAGAAGAGGGAGAGUUUCAAGUAUCUGGGGUUUAUGAUUCAGGACAAUGGUGAGAUUGAUGAGGACAUCACGUAUCGUAUUGGGCCAAGAUGGUUGAAAUGGAGGCUCGCUUCGGGAGUUCUAUGUGAUAAAAAGGUGCCUUCAAAGCUUAAAGGUAAGUUCUAUAGAGUGGUAGUCCGGCCGGCUAUGUUGUAUGAAGUGGAGUGUUGGCCAGUUAAGAACUCCCACAUCCAAAAGUGAAGGUGGCGGAGAUGAGAAUAUUGUGAUGGAUGUGUGGGCAUACCAAGAAAGAUAGAGUAAGGAAUAAGAUUAUUCGAGAGAAGGUGGGAGUUGCCUCGGUGGAGAACAAGAUACGAGAAGUAAGGUUACGUUGGUUCAGGCACGUGAUGAUAAGGGGCUUAGAUACUCAUGUGCGGAGGUGUGAGAUAAUGGCUAUGGAUGGUUUUAGACGGGGUAGAGGUAGAACAAAAAUAUAUUAGAGGGAGGUGAUUAGGCAUGAUAUGGAGCAGUUACAGCUAACAGAGGACAUGAACCUUAAUAGAAAGGUAUGGAGGAAGUGGAUUAGGGUAGAGGGUUAGGGGUGUGAGGGCAUCGAUAAUAGUAGGGGUGCACUCUUCGGGGGUUGGAGUUUUUUGUUCGUGGCUAACGGUAUUAGUUUAUUUUGCUUACCGUACUAGUUUAUAUAUGUACUUAUCUUUUGUGUUUGGUAUUCUCUUAGUUUGUCUUGUGUACUAUACUAGUUAUAUACACUUAUAUUUGGGUUGGUAUAUAGGUAUCGAUCCUAAGUCGGGGGUCUAACGAAAAUAGCCUCUCUACUUCUCUUGAGGUAGUGGUAUGGUCUGCGUACACUCUACCCUCCCCAGACCCCACUAGGUGGGAAUACACUGGGUAUGUUGUUGUUGUCGUUGUGUAGUAUAGAAUGUUGAAAAGUGCAUAAUUUCAAAAUUUCAACUUAUUCCGAGCUAAGGUGCUCUUUGUGUUCUUGGUGUGUUCUUGAGGAAAUUGUUAUAUUCAUAUUGGAAGUUUAUCCAAUAGAGGGUGUUUGGUCCAAAAAAAGGAAGAAAAAAGAGCGAAAAGUGUUUGUACUAGGGCAUCCAUAAAGAUUCUAAGGAUAUUCCCAGAAAAGGGGACACAAAGGACCAUUUGAGGGAUAUUUCGGCCUUUAAACAAGCAAGGGGCGGCCAAUUUGCUCGUGACCUGCGACUAAGGUGUCCUGCAGCUGCUUCCAACCUGCUGCCGCACCUCAAGGAAGUGUGUAACUCUUCACCUGCAUUAAAAAUGCUCUGGACAUGCAUCCCAGCUGCUACAACAUGCCAAGACAGUUUUUUCUGUAUUUAACUUGUUGUUGACUCGCGCCCAAGGUGUAUAACACACUUCAAACGUAGAUCAGCCUUUCCCAAGGCCAAUCCAAGUUUCCAAAUGCAAAUUCCACCCUUCAAUUGCUCCUUUGUUUAGUUUUGAUUCCUUAGUUUCAUUUCUUGAUUUUUAAAUUAAUCUCUUGAUUCUUAAAACUAUCAACAACUAGUAAUUCACCUACUAAGUUGGAUGAUUAGUUCUUGAGUCUGAAUUCGUUCACCAUCUAAUUUUUUUCAAGAUUUUAUCUUUUAAUAUCGUUGUUAAUUCUUGAUCCAAGUCCUUAUAUCUUUAUUUGAGUCCUUCAAACAAGAAUCCAAUCCGAUCAAAGUAGCACUUGACACUUCGAUUAUCACACGAAGUAUAAACCAUCUUUUAAUAUUUAUGAUCCAAGUGUGAAGUCAACAAAGGUGUGAAGAGUUUGUGACGUUAAUUUCUCUAACGUUAACGUGCUUGUUGUUUUUGUGAGUGUCUUUCUUCAUAGGUACAAUGGCUACAAAAGGCGAAACUUCGCAAACGAUGGAUAACCACUCAAAAAUGCUAUGUUAGCUGCCAUUGAAACUCUCAAUCGUAAAAUUGAUUCUAUGGAGGCUAAGAUAAAUUCACUUGACCUUAAGGUGUAUUCUUUAGAAGAAGUGUGUCCCUCACAGGUGGAAGAGUGGAUAACAUAGAAGGUCACCAAAACAUAUCCUAAUCCACGCCUCAACACUACCAUGCCUCGACUGGUGAGCAUGCUUCAAAUCCUUUCGUUCAUAUUUCCCCCAAAAAACCUUCAUCAAAUGAUCAAUCCACCAAAAUAAGCAUAUGAUUCCAUUACUCAACCCACUACAUAUCCACAAAACCAAAAUCCCAUUCGACCACUCCAACCUCAAUUCAACCAAACACCACAAGACGAAUCUCAAGACAGAAUACCCCAACCUCUAUUAAACCAAACCCCCAUUCCAAGCACCCCUUAACCAAAACCAACCCAUCCAAAUAGAAAAAGAUGAGAGGGAGGAACAACAAGAGAAGUUUGGAGCAUUCAAUGAAGGCAACAUAUUGGUAGGUAAAAUGAUAUAUGGACUAAUGGAUCAACAAGGUUAUCGAUGUCGAGGAGAAAAACUUGGUCAGGCGCCUAAUGGUAGAAGAAACUUAGGAAACUGACCCUAAGGUCAUGAUCAAUGGAACCAACAUAGUGGUAAUGGAAUAGGAAACUUGGGAAAACGACCCCAAGGUUAUGAUCAAGGAAACCAACAAGGUAAUAAGGAUCGAGAUAUGGGUAUCAAUUCAAUCAAGGUUAGUCUUUCGACCUUCAAAAGCGAGAGUGAUCCCGAAACUUAUAUUCAUGGGAGUCCUUUUAUGAAAGGAUCUUCCAAGUCAAAGAUAUCAUCAAAGAAAAAAAGAGUUGCUAUGCUAUAUCCCACUUUGAAGGAUAUGCCAAUACGUGGUAGGAUUAUGUUAAGAGGUUUGGAAAUGCAUUGAAUGAUGGACAACUACCCCCAUGGGAUGCAUUGAAGGGACUCAUGAGACAAAGGUAUGUUCCAGAGAGGUAUAAACAUGAGUUACUUUCUAAGUCAUAUAACUUGAUUCAAAGAAGAAAGAGUGUCUUGGCAUAUUAUGAUGAUUUCCAACAAUUGAUCUUGAAACUAGAUCAUCAUGAGAACAUGAACUAUGAGAUCAUACGCUUUAAGGUUGGGUUGAACAAAGAAAUCUCCUCAUGUAUGACUAUCCACAAGUUUGAAACCACAGAGAAAAUCUUUCAAGCGGCCUUAGAGAUUGAGAGGGAUAUUAAAGAAAGGAAAACUUACAAACCAAAAGGGUACUCAUCUACCAACACUUGGAGUAGAAGUAGCACAAUCGUCAUCGAGAUGGUACAAGAACAAGGACUACAAGUCCAAUACCCUCCAAGGAAUAAAGGUAAAAAAUGUUCUACUCUAAAUCAUAAAGGUUUUCAAUAUUUUAAAUAUCAAGGGUGGGGACAUAAGUCAAGUGAAUAUCCCAAUUGGAGAAAUAUGAUCCUUAGAAGGGAAAUUGUAUGACUUUUUAGAAGAGGUAGGAUUGGAAGAUGAGAAUGAUGAAAAGCCUAAAAUGAAGAGGGGUCCGAAGAAGAUGAGCAAGUAAAGGAGGACAAUGAAGAUGUUUGGCCUCAAGAUGGAGAGUAUGAGGUUCUAAACUUUAUUGUGAGGCAUGCAAUGAUUAGUAAGGCAAUAUGUGAUCCUAUUCAAGACGAGAAUCUAUUCCAUACUAAAUGUUUUAUAAAAAAACAUGUACUCUUUGAUCAAACUACAAGAAGGAUGAAGAAGAGAAGGUUGAAAGGGAAAAGUCCCUUAGUGAUGUUGGCUAGGAAAAAGGUUUUUUCAAAGAGCAUGAUGACAAAACACCCAUGCUCCUCUUAGCCCAUGCUUUUUAUGAUAACCAUUCUACUUCUCCUAUCCUCCAUUCUAUUUUCCUUAUUUUGUAAGACUAUGAACAUGUGUUCCAAAGGAGCUUCCCCAAGGAUUACCCUUACUUUCGGGAAUUGAGCAUCAAAUUAAUUUUGUACUGGGUUCUAAAUUACCCAGCAAACCGGCCCAUCAAACUUGUUUUUUCUUUCCUUUAAGAAAGAGGCUAAUUUGUGUUGGUAUUCAAACUUUCUCUCUUCAUAAAGGCAAAAGUAAUCGCUGACAGAACAUCAGUAUUUCACACGGUCUAAGGUCAAGAAAGCAAUUAUAAAGCCAUAUGUUCUUGCUUGGGCUAACAAAAGGACUCACUCAACUAUAAAUGAACUACGUUCGACUUGACUUCCCUUGUGGAAUACAUAGGCAACCUGUUUUGGCUUUGGUCACAUUAUCAAAAAUUUAAAAUAUCCCUUUUAUUUUGUAUGAACUAUGUUUGACCUGAAUUCUCAAGAAAGGGAUAUGUAGGCGGCCUAUAUUGGCUUCGGGCAACCCCAUAGAAGAUUUAUCUUAUUAUUUUUGUUUCUGAACUACAUUUCCUACCUCAAUGGAAUGCGUAGGUGCUACACUGGCUCAAUCAUAUUUUCUAACAAUUUUUUUUAGAAAACCUCAAAAUUCAUCAGAAGAAUCCUUUCCCAAGUUAAAUGUAGAUGACAUUGAAGCAUGUAAUUGGGGCAGAAAUUUUUGAAAAGAUCUCAAAAAUUUUACAAAAACUUGACGUUGUCUACAAAGUUGGAAACCAGAUGUCGUUGAGAUCAGGGCAUAGCUUUUAAAGUUCUCUAUGCUUAAAAAUACUCUACAUCAGAAACAAUUCAAGUAUUUUGCAUUAUAGACCGGGGCAUAAUUUUUGAGGAGGACCCUAAAAAAUUUCAUAAAAGUUGUACUUCAAGAUCGGAGAAGUUUGCAAAUCAAUGAUCAACAAGGUGCAUCAGGAAAGCAAGGUAAUACCAACACAGUUAGUCUUUCAAAACUAAAAUUUUUUAUUUGGAUGCAGAAAUAGUGAAGUCACAAAGUUGACACUGUUAAGCAUGACAAGGGGCAUUAUCAGACCCACUGUGACCCUGCUAUAAUAAUCCAGACAAUUUCUUUCCCUCAUUUUUCUCUUGAUUUAUGUUUCUAUUACUUCGUUAUGAUCUCUAAAACUUUCUAUGAUUUUAUAGGGAAAUAAUCCAGAAUAACGAUGAAGAUGUGGAGAUAUUAUUCAAACUACUAUCUCUAAAUCAUCAUAAGUCGAACAAAUCCAGUUUUUAUCUUUAAACUCUGUCUUCUGUUACAUUUCUGACUUAGUUAUAACAAACUAUUCCAUUAUUAAUGAGUGUUGUUCAAGUUGUACAGGUGACGUUAUGCAGGAUCACCUCUAAGAAAUAAUGCAAAAGUAUCUUCUCAAGGUUUGAGGAUCCAAUCCAGAAUCUCAGGAUAUGCGCAAGCCCUUUGAAGGACUCCUGAUUCAAAGGAUGAAGUUCAACAAAUCAACUUCUAUCUCUUCGUAUGUUAUUUGGGUCAUCCACCCUUUCUAAGAGACAUAUUUUAUUAUAUUUGGGUCGUCCAUCCUUUCAAGAGGACAUAUCGAAUUGUCACUUCGUUUGAGGUGACACAUCUUAUUAUAUUUUGGUCAUUCACUAUUUAUUAUUAUGUUUGGGUCAUCCACCCUUUCAAAAGGGCUUACCGAAUUGUCAUUUCAUUUGAGGUGACAUAUCUUAUAAUAUUUUGGUCGUCCACCCUUUAUUAUAUUUGGAUUUUCCAUCCUUUAAUAGGAUGCAUUGGACUAUCACUUUAUUUGAGAAAUCAUCUUAUUAUAUUAUGGACCGUCACCUCCUUCAGAGUGACAAAAUAUAAUGUUAUGGACCGUUACCUCCUUCAAAGUGAUGUUUUAUUAUGUUAUGGAUCGUCAUCUCCUUCAGAGUGACACAUUAUUAUGUUACAGACAGUCACCUCUUUCAGAGUGACAUCUUCUUAUGUUAUAGACCGUUACCUUCAAAGUGACAUCUUAUUAUGUUAUGGACUGUCACCUCCUUCAGAGUGACAUAUUAUUAUGGAUCAUCACCUCCUUCAGAGUGACAUCUUAUGUUAUGUACCGUCACCUCCUUCAGAGUGACAUCUUAUUAUUUUAUGGGUUGUCACCUCCUUCAGAGUGACAUCUUAUUAUAUUAUGGACCGUCACCGCCUUCAGAGUGACACAUUAUUAUGUUAUGGACCGCCACCGCCUUCAGAGUGACACAUUAUUAUGUUAUGGACCGUCACCUUUUUUAGAGUGACAUCUUAUUAGAUUAUGGACCAUCAUCUCAUUUGACGUCAUAUGUUAUGAAUUUCGACCUACUUCAGUAUGGCAUACUAAAUAAGGUAUCCACGAUUGCCCUUAUAUUGCAUUUGCUACUAAUAAGUUUAGUGCAGGUGAUUAUGAGAUACGUUUGUUGUCACCCAAUUCAAAAUGACACAUUGCAUGCAACAUUGGUCGUCCGCCUUUCAAUGAGACACGUUGGGGCGUCACCCUAUUCAAGUGACAUGUUAUAUUCAAUGUUGGCCGUCCGCCUUUUAAUAAGACACGUUGGGUCUUCAUCCCGUUCAAGUGAUGUUAUAUUCAAUGUUGGUCUUCUGUCUUUCAAUGAGACAUAUUGGGUCGUCACCCCGUUCAAGUAAUAUGUUAUAUUCAACAUUGGUUGUUCACCUUUCAAUAAGACACGUUGGGUCAUCACUCCGUUCAAGUGACAUGUUAUAUUCAAUAUUGAUCGUCCACCUUUCAAUGAGACACAUUGGGUCGUCAUCCCGUUCAAGUGUCAUGUUACAUUCAAGAUUGGUCUUUCGCCUUUCAAUGAGACACAUUGGGUCGUCACCCCAUUCAAAUGACAUAUUACAUUGGUCGACCGCCUUUCAAUGAGACACGUUGGGUCGUCCUCCUGUUCAAGUGGCACAUUAUAUUUAAUAUAGGUCGUCCACCUUUUAAUAAGACACGUUGGGUCGUCACUCCAUUCAAGUGACCUGUUACAUUCAACAUUGGUUGUCCGCCUUUCAAUAAGACACGUUGGGUCAUCACCCCGUUCAAGUGACAUGUUAUAUUCAACAUUGUUCGUCCACCUUUCAAUGAGAUACAUUGGGUCGUCACCCUGUUCAAGUGGUAUGUUAUAUUCAACAUUGUUCGUCCGCCUUUUAAUGAGACACGUUGGGUCGUAAUCCCGUUCAAGUGAUAUGUUAUAUUCAAGAUUAGUCGUCCGGCCUUCAAUAAGACACGUUGGACUGUUACUCCAUUCAAAGUAGCAUGUUAUAUUCAAGAUGGGUCGUCCGUCCUUCAAUGAGACACGUUGGACCAUUAUUCCGUUCAAAGUGGCAUAUUGCAUUUUAAAUGGGUUGUCCGUCCUUCAAUGAGAUACGUUGGAUCAUCACUCCAUUCAAAGUGAUAUGUUACAUUCAAGAUAAGUCAUUCACUUUUUACCGAUGCAUGUUGGUUUGUCAUCCCGUUUAAAGUGACACAAUAUUUUCAGAACAGGUUCGACUAUCUCAGUAUAGCAUGGUCAAAUAGGUUUGUGCCAGUUUGUGUUUAUGUAAUGCUACAUUUACAACUAACCAUUUGUUUGAGUUGUUGUCGAGAGCAUCCAAAAGGAUGAAAUUCUCAAAUCAAAACCACAGGUGUGGACAACUCCAAAAAGGACGCAGCACAACGUGUAAUUUUUUCUUAGCAGCCAACUGGGACAUAGUUUGAAGAGGGAUUCAAACUCUUUGGACGCGAGCCAAAGGACGACUUUCAUCACCAUCAAACCACACCCCUAUUAGAAGGCAUGUGGGUAUUUCUAGAUAUUUUUUGUUUCAGUUUCACCUUUGGGACAAAUUCUAAACUCGCACCAGAGAUAGUCUUCCCCUUCUUUGAAAACCAGGUGACAACAACCCUAGAGCUUUGAAAAUUAUGUCCAUAUAGCUCUUAGUUGCGGGCGUAAGGAGCCCCACAUUCGUGAUUGAGAUAAAUGUAAGCCUCUUUUCCAUAACUCAACAUAUUGUCACUCAUCCCGAGCCAAAGAUCGUCUAAAAUAAAAGACUAUCUUUUCUAUCGAUCGAGUCGAACUACAAGCAGUCUGAUUUCCUAAAUCAUUGGGAUAUGUAGGAUGUUCUCUAUAUAGAAAACUCAAUUGCGUUCCAACCUUUCCUCAAAUUUUCUUAUUCCACAGCUAUUCGAUUUUACGAAAAUUUGAAACUCAAAAUAGUUUAUGAAUUCUUUGAAAACCGUGCUUUAAAAUCAAGCUUUAUUAACUACAAGUGGCUUGAAUUCUCAUGUAACCUGAGAUAUGUAGGAAACCCGAUGCCAGGGUCCGGCCAUAACUCUGCAAAAACAAUCGUGCGUAAACCAAUCUUUUUCGAGAGACAAAUUUAUGGUCGGACCAAAUUAGAGACUUCAAACUACCUUUGCUCAGGGUUACUCACAUCCACCCUAACCAAAGGGAGGGAGCAGUUGUUGAGACCUAAUUUUUGCCCUCUACAUUCCAAAUUAGUUUUUGAAUUUCUCAAUUUUAAAUAGUUUUAAAAUAUUUAUUUUUAGUUAUUUUGAAAUAAAUUUCAACCCUACCUUUUGAAUUUAGGUAAAAUUAGUAUAUUUAGUGUUUAAUUUUACAUGAUUAUAUAAUUAUCAGUUACAGAAAAUGCUUUAAAAUUUAUUCAGAGUGAAAAGUUUUGAUUAAAUUGCAAAUAUUCUAAUUUUAUUGAUUGAAAAUAAGAAAUUGAUGACAUAAUUAGUUUCUUAAUUUUUAUUUAUUAUAUUAUUAUUAUUUUUGAAAAAAAAAGAAAUAAAAUAAAAUUGUGCUUUAUUUAAUAGAUAUUUUGAAAUUAUUGAAUUUGAUAAAUUCGUUAAAUUAAUUAGAAGAUAAUUUCAUCUCAGCUUUAUCAAAAUGUAUUUAAUUGUGACCAUUUUAUUAAUAUAAGAUAACCAUAAUUAGAGUUAAUAACGGUUGUUUUAUUUUCCUCUGCCAUUAACAGCCCCACCCCCAUUUUGGGCCAUCAACAGAUCAUAACAGGCCCAACUCCAUAACCACCAGGUCGGCCCAACAUCCACCGGCCCAUCCUCCCAUUCUCUCAACAACAAUACAGCGAACAACCCAGUCAACAAACGUACAACAAUUUCAACACAGCAUCGAACAACGUUUUCAGCAUCAACAACGCCAAGAGUGGCUACAAGUUCAUCCAUAUUUACCUUUUCAGUUCGUGACUCCCCAUUUUGUGCAAAUAUUUAAUGCCCAACGGCUCUCCUUUUUGUCCCACAGUGGAUUUCAAAUUUCUCUCAAGAAAUCAAUUCAAUUCCAGUUUUUAAAUCCGAAAAUAAACCCUAUUCUCUCUUCUAUAAAUAGAUAGUGACGAACAGAGGCGGAGGGGAGGAUUUUUGGGGGAAAAAUUGAGGAUUCGGGAGGCGUGUGCUUCUAAUACUACGUAACCCAAAAGUUUCUCGAAGAAACAUACUCAAAAACUCAAUUCCCAUAAAUUCGAACUGAAAUUCCGGUGGUGAAAACUCAUCGUGAUAGGCUCGUCGUCCUAGUUCGCUGCCCGGAUAAAGGUAAACUUCCUCGUCCUCUCGUUUCGAUGUAAUUCUGGUUGCAAUUUUUGUCAUUUACAUUGUCGUGUAUUGGUCGUCGAUAUAUUACUGUGGAAUGGGGAAAUUGACUUGGGAUUUUUAUCCUCAAUGAUUGACUAUGUAUUUUGGACUCUCAGGAUUGAUUUGCUGGAAUUGUAGUCAAAUUAGAACAAAGUUGGUUAUUGAAUGUAUAUUUAUGUGUUUAUUUGGGCUGUGCUGAUAUCGAUUUCCUUGCUCUCUGGUGUAAAACCAUGGAUUCAUCUUGUAACUUCGACUGAUUUUAAACUUUGUAUAUGUCGAAUUUGAUCUUUGAGAAUAACCCGCAGAUAUUCAAAUAAUGGCCAGCUUUACUACCGUUGACCCUGAUUUUAUAUGAUUUCCUUGCUCCAAAUUGUCUGUCAGGAAAGUAAUUUAACUAGCGGGGUUGGUCGAGACUAUUUGAAUUUAGUCAGAUCUGCGUUAGUGGUUUUACUACGCCCGAAUUUUGGAAAAGAAGAAUAGUAGUUUGUUGUAUAGAUGCCAUCAUUCUGAUCUGUUUUAUCACAAACUCCAUGUCGAUGAACUAACACCUUUGAUAUGCAUGUUCAGUGAUGAUAUAAUCCAUAUUUGUAAUUCUUUACUUCUCAAAUUAAUGUGGUUACUUAAGUAAGUUUAUAUAGGUUCCUCGAAAAAAUUGUUUGCUACCGAUAUUGAGGCAGUGAAUGAUAGCGUGGUAUAUCAAAUUCAUAUCACCUCUAGCCCAUAAAGUGUUCAUUUGUAUUGGCCCGCUAAUAACAUGAUUCAAUUUUCUUAGUUAUUAUUGAUAUUAUUAUUAUUAUCAGUAGUAGUUUUAGUAUUAUUAUAGGAAUGGUAGUUGCAGUAUGUCUAUACCGUGUAUGACGCCAUUCCCACAUUGUUCACUAAUUCUUAUCUUUUAUUUGAUGUAUGUGACACGAAUUCGAGUUCGCUGGACUCCAUUUUCCUUGCAUAUCUUAUUGGGCCAAAGAGGCCUCGAUCUCGAUUCAAGCCUUAAAGUCCAAAACUGGACUGAUAUACAUGGGAUAUACACUUAGAUACAGUUGAUGUACACUAGAAUGCAGCUGAUAAUGGCGUAUACUAAGAGGGAAGCGAGCAUACAAGGUUUAUACACAGAUAUACAGUGCGUACACAAAAACGCAGCAGCAAUAGGGCUGAUGUACAGUCGGUAUACAACUUAUAUACACUUCAGAAAAAUGGACCUAAAGUCCAUAAUUCAAAGCCCAAAAAUGGGCAGCUUUAGUUAUGGGUCAAUUAAGGGCCCAAUUUCAAUUCUUAUAGCUAUUUUUGUAGUUCAUGCUUAUUUGUAGCUUGUAUUGAUUAUUUGUGCUAACUAAUAUUUGUAAAUUAUAAUCAAUCUAGACAAAUUCCCUAACAGUGUUGUCAUUUUUAUUUUAUCUUAGUUUUCUUCCACUUAAUUUAUAAUUUCGUCACCUAAUUUAUUUUAUCUAAAAAUGAUUUAAAUCGGCUUCUUCGACUUUUGUUAGCAAGUCUUUAAAAAUUAAGCACUUUAUUUCAAAAUAAGAUUUGACUUCUUCAUGUAACUAAAUAGACUAUUUGAAUUAAAAUAACUUUCUUUAAAUUCAAGAAACUAAAUUUUCUUAUAAAUUUCAAUUUUUCAUAAUUAAUAAAGGGUUUUUAAUUCAACACUCUCUUAACAUUUUUUCAAAGGUAUUAUCUAUAAUAUGAUCAACUUUUUC
rnacentral:lncRNA from 1 species